rnacentral:lncRNA from 1 species
AUGAAUUACAAAAGCAGGUUCAAAAAGACCUUCAGCAGAAAUGAGGUUCUCAAUCCAAUUAGAUCUCUAGGGUUGGCUUAUAACACACUGGCUAUCACUAAAUUUCAAAAAUGGGCUUUGCCACUUUCCAGGGCCAGCCUGCAAAAUGCCUGGAGCUUUAACGACCUUCUCUGUCCAUUAAGGGAUCUGAUAGACAUGAAGUUUUAUAAGAAUCUGCGAACAUCUUUGAGAAGGAGUUACUGAACACUGUGCAAACGACAGACAGCACUAAAGUUCCCAUUAGCUACCAGAAGAAAACUCAAAGUUCAUUAACGAGUAGCUGAUUGUCUUUAUCGCACGGAGGCUUACGUCUUAACACCCAAGAAGGAAGGAGUGAAAUCUGCCUCAGUACUUCCAUGGAAUUCCUUCUCGAAGUUUGAUUCAAUUCCUGUUCAUGUGUAAGACAUAAGCCUUAUGCCAUGAAAUUCCCAUUUUAACUGGUUGUCGGCUGUAAGUUAAUAUGCAGACUUAUUUCGCUUCUCCCCCUCCACGCUUGUGCACAAUGCUUUGAAUGUUCUGUGUUUUCCUUGCCUUUGAUUGCCAAUCCAUCCCGGGCCCUCAUUUCCUCCUCUCCUGCCUUUUGGCCGGCAUAAUUUUGGAACUUAGAAAAAAAAAAUGCAUCCUCUGUCUUUUCUCAUAGGCUCCAUUUGCAUUUUAGUCGAUUUUGGACAUUUUUUCUACGAUGUAUUCAGUAUGCUUUAUUUCCUGUUUUUAUAAGCUUUAUAUAACUUCAGAAAAAUGUGAUCCAAGGCAUGUCUGGGGGAGAGGUGGCUGUUAUUUUUUUACUGUAACAUGGAAGAUAUUGACCUGCAGUGUCUACACUGGGCAUAACUGUUUGCAGAGUUGUCUUUUUUCCUUUUAAUUUUAUUUUUGAGAGAGCACGAGCCAGGGAGAGGGGCAGAGGGAGAGGGAGAGCAAGAUUUCAAGCAGGUUCCUCGUUCAGCUCAGAGUCCGACAUGGGGCUCCAUCCCAUGACUCUGGGAUCGUGACCUGAGCUGAAAUCAAGAAUCGGAGGCUCAACCGACUGAGCCACCCCUGCAGAGUUGUCUUUAGAUGACCGUGACCAGAGGUAUUUUUCAGGGUUCUUCAUCUUGGUCAGCUGGGUGCCAGGAAGGCAGCUGGUAGGACAUACAUGCAGGCAAUUAGCAUGUAUGCACUGAACACUCUAUCAUUUCCAAACCAAAAGGUGAGAUCAUUUCUGCUA